AGAACAAACGCGAUGUCAGACACCUGAAUCCAACGUGCAAAUUUCAAAACUGGAGAAGGUAAUUUAAUUGUGUAUGCUUGUAGCCUAUCACUAUGCUUAGCCUUGCCCACUUCAGCUCAUCAGUUUUGGGAUUCCCACUGACCUGAACAGAAUCAACAAACUGUUAUUUAUUUAUUUUUCAUUAAAAAAAUACAGGAUUUACUGGUAGGGUACAAGAAAGAGCCGGAAGAAAAUUACGCAUUGGUUGAGCUCAGAAUGAAGGACCUGGAGACCGGCAAUCUGAACCUGGAAGCUCAAUUGCAAGAAAAAUCUCAAGUUAUACUGGCCUUGGAGAAGGAGCUGGAAAACGAGAAACUAAAAUGCGGCGCUAGACUCAAUGAAGUUCAAGCUGAGUUGGCUGAGUGUUUGUCCGAAAAAGAUUUUUUACUGUCCGAGAAAGAGGUCGUAGCGGAGGCGCAUGAAGACACCAUCAAGUCCCUGACAUGCAGGCUAAAGCAACACAAAUGUGUGUGUAUUGAAAAAACUGGCGGUGUGCAACAAGAGCAGCUGAAAGACAUUGAUGAGCUCCUGGAUACAAAAUGCGCUAAAUCGCCACAUGCGAAACAAAAGAGGAAUAGUCAUUUUGAUGUACCCGGAACGUCGGUUCACCAGAUCGGGAUCCAGAUUCAGCCCUCCUCUUCAGCGUUCCAGGAGACCAUCGAUAGAAAGGAAGAUGGGGAAGGACAAGUGACAAGCAGCGGUCUGAGGUCUGAAGCUGAAAUCGCAGGAAAUCAAGUUGAAGAACAGAACAUGAGACCUCAGGAAAGAAGGCAGUCUGAGGUAAAGAAGGUCAAGGCAUUGGAGACGAGGGUGAAAGAGAUGCAACACCAGGUUGAGGAAAGCAAUAACAAAUUAGAAGUGCUUGAAGAAAUGCUGCAAGAUCUAAAUGCCACUGUUUCUUACCAACCGACUCAACGACUGGAUCAGAUAUUCUCAGAUUCUAAAGCAACAGAGAGACAAGCCUCAGGGUCGUUCGACGAAGGCUAUGGAUCAGGCACGGAUCAGAACCUCUCGUCUGUUUGUUUGGACACAGUGAAGGAUCAAGAAACUAACUAUAGGAGAUUGAAGAUCAGGUUAAUGGCUUCUGAUCGUCUAAGAAAAGUUUUGGCAGAGAAGGCGUCUGAGGUUGAGACCCUGCAGAAUGAACGUGAACAUCUUCUGUGUGAUGAAUCCAAGCUGGCAGACGGUCAGAGACACGCACGCCAUGACCUCAUAUACCUUGACAAUGCUCUUGACUCUGCCAGGAGAGAGAUUGAAAGUUUAAUGAUGCAAAUGAAGCUGAUGGAGGAAUUGGACCGCAAGGAAAUGGUUCAGAAGUUUGUGGUGCCGCGGGAUUCCAAACUAAGAGUGUUUCCCGUCAAUACCUCAAGAACAGACUGUGGUAGUAGGACUCAGAAGGAAUCCCUAUCUUCUCAACUCUCCGGUGGAAUGAAAAAGAAGAUGAAGCAACAACCCGUUCAUCAGAAGAGGAAGAUGAAAAUGCAAGACACCAGAACCGAACCUCUUGACAGUGUCAGUCGUCGUCCCAGAGCUAUAAACAUUAAUAACUUGGAGCAUGAAGAGGAUAGCUCGUCACUCAGGAAUCCCUCCGAGCUGAACACAGAGACCCUGAGGUUGAGAAGUAACAGCCUUCAACGCAGCAACCUCAACACAAACCAGUACCACCACCCUUCACAUGGUUCCUCACGAUGGUCCACCAACCCUUCCAGGAGCCCCAGUCUCACGCAAGAGGAUAUCGGCCUUCAGCGAAUCGUAGCAGAGGUCAAAGGGUUGACCUACGGGAUUUCACGGGUUCUACGCGAAGCCCACGAUGGAGGAAGUCCCGGUAACUCACGGUCAAGUGUGAGUGCUCAAAUCAUUUUUCAUUCUCGAAUGGGUUGCUUACUCUUGCUGGCAUUUCCUGCCAACAAACGCUAA
ensembl:lncRNA